rnacentral:tRNA from 1 species
GGUGGCUCAGUGGUAGAGUACUUGCCUCUCAUGCAUAAGGCCCUGGGUUCAAUUCCUCAGCACCA